CAUUAGCAGAUGUCUUCAUCUCCUUCCCUGGCCACAGAAGACUCUGUGACAUCAAAGAGGAGUUCUAUAGGAUUGCAGGUUUCCCCAAUGUCAUUGGUGCAGUGGACUGCACACACAAGGAUAAAAGCCCCCUCAGGUGCCCAUGAGGCCGAUUUUGUGAAUAGGAAAUCCUUUCACAGCAUUAAUGUUCAGAUGGUCUGCAAUGCUGACUGUGUGAUCAGCAAUGUUGUGGCAAAAUGGCCUGGCUCAGUCCAUGACUCCAGAAUCUUUCGGGCCUCUGAAAUCUAUCA